rnacentral:lncRNA from 1 species
CUUUGAGCAGAAUUCUUAGGUGCUACUUCACAGUCCACUCAAUUUGGCCUCCAUCCCUGACUCCCAUCUGCCGUAGAAGGCCCAACCCCCCGUCUCAGCCCUACUCCACUCCUGCAGUAUAGUGGCAGGAGUUUUCCUGCUCAUCCACUUCUACCCUUUAAUAGAAAAUAACCUAUCAAUCCAAACCUUUACAUUACGUCUGGGGGCUAUUACUACCUUAUUUACAGCAAUCUGUGCUCUAACACAGAACGAUAUCAAAAAAAUUGUAGCAUUCUCCACCUCAAGCCAGCUAGGCCUUACAAUCAUCACAAUUGGCAUUAAUCAGCCACACCUAGCAUUCCUUCACAUA